GAUGAACGCUGGCGGCGUGCCUAAUACAUGCAAGUCGAACGAAACUUCUUUAUCACCGAGUGCUUGCACUCACCGAUAAAGAGUUGAGUGGCGAACGGGUGAGUAACACGUGGGCAACCUGCCCCAAAGAGGGGGAUAACACUUGGAAACAGGUUCUAAUACCGCAUAACCAUAGUUACCGCAUGGUAACUAUGUAAAAGGUGGCUAUACUACCGCUUUUGCAUGGGCUCGCGGCGCAUUAGCUAGUUGGUAGGGUAAAGGCUUACCAAGGCAAUGAUGCGUAGCCGAAUUGAGAGGGUGAUCGGCCACACUGGGACUGAGACACGGCCCAGACUCCUACGGGAGGCAGCAGUAGGGAAUCUUCCGCAAUGGGCGAAAGCCUGAUGGAGCAACGCCGCGUGAGUGAAGAAGGUCUUCGGAUCGUAAAACCCUGUUGUUAGAGAAGAAAGUGCGUGAGAGUAACUGUUCACGUUUCGACGGUAUCUAACCGGAAAGCCACGGCUAACUACGUG
rnacentral:rRNA from 1 species